rnacentral:rRNA from 1 species
GACGAACGCUGGCGGCGUGCUUAACACAUGCAAGUCGAACGGAAAGGCCCUGCUUUUGUGGGGUGCUCGAGUGGCGAACGGGUGAGUAACACGUGAGUAACCUGCCCUUGACUUUGGGAUAACUUCAGGAAACUGGGGCUAAUACCGGAUAUGAUCUCCUGCUGCAUGGUGGGGGUUGGAAAGUUUCGGCGGUUGGGGAUGGACUCGCGGCUUAUCAGCUUGUUGGUGGGGUAGUGGCUUACCAAGGCUUUGACGGGUAGCCGGCCUGAGAGGGUGACCGGCCACAUUGGGACUGAGAUACGGCCCAGACUCCUACGGGAGGCAGCAGUGGGGAAUAUUGCACAAUGGGCGGAAGCCUGAUGCAGCAACGCCGCGUGCGGGAUGACGGCCUUCGGGUUGUAAACCGCUUUCGCCUGUGACGAAGCGUGAGUGACGGUAAUGGGUAAAGAAGCACCGGCUAACUACGUG